rnacentral:rRNA from 1 species
UACGUAGGGUGCGAGCGUUAAUCGGAAUUACUGGGCGUAAAGCGUGCGCAGGCGGCGGCUCAAGUCAGGUGUGAAAUCCCCGGGCUUAACCUGGGAAUUGCGCUUGAAACUAGGUUGCUAGAGUGUGGCAGAGGGGGGUGGAAUUCCACGUGUAGCAGUGAAAUGCGUAGAGAUGUGGAGGAACACCGGUGGCGAAGGCGGCAUCCUGGACCGGCAUUGACGCUGAGGCGCGAAAGCCAGGGGAGCAAACGGG